UUUCACAUAGCUAUUAAACAAUUUAGGCCACAAUACUGCAUAAAAUAAAGGAAAGUGCAUUAAUUAGGAUUGAAAAAAUUAUGAAAAUUAGGGUGAAAUUAGCGCUAAGUUGAAUUGUAAAUUAAUAAAGAGUAAGUAUCAGGAACCAGCUAAUAGCUGGAAUUUAAAAGGGAAUUUGGUAGCUAUUUUUUGCGAAAACAUCAAAUGGUCUUGUAGAUAAGGAGAUAACAAAAAUGACUUUCUAUAAGGGAAUAGCUGGAAUUUUGGGAUAUUAAAUAAGGAGUAAUAAAUUAAAUUAAAAAAUAGGCAAUACAGAAUGGCAUCAAAAUUCUGCACAGAUACUGAGUCAAACUUAGUACAACAAAAUUUGGAGUUCGUGACAAAUACUGGUUCACCGCAAUGGUAUGUCAGAUUGAAUUUAUCUCCGUAAAUGAUCAAAUUGAUUGUGAUCUAUAUCAGGUAAUGAAUAAUAGGGAACACCAUUCUGUGCUAAGUUAGGAUCGACAUCUGGAAAAGACGAUGAUGCUCCUUCUGAACUUGUUCCCAAUCCACUAUUUGGUUCAAAAAUUUUGGCAUAGAAAUUUAUUAUUUUUUGAUUACCACGAUACUGCCGUUCCUCAGUCUCAAUGGUGGAUGGAACAGCAAUACGACUAAUAGGUAUUAACGGUGGUCGAUCGCGCGGGGGAAAAUUCAAUGGAGAUGAUUGAAGGGAGUCUCUGAUUUUGUUUUUCCGAGGAGUUUGGGGUUCGCUUCGUGUAGCAAAAGAUUUAUUUAAAGAUCUCCGAUGCUUAUAUGUCGAGGGUGGGGAAUUUACAGAAUGUUGUCCAGUAGUUUCGUAAUCAAUGCCUGUAGAAGGAGAAAAUAUCCUUUUACCUUGCUUUGGAAAAAUUUUCACUUCUCUGGAAGCCGGUUCUGGUGGUAAAUUAAGCGUACUUGAACUACUAGUUUGAGAAGUCAGCAUUGAUAAAGCAGGUAUAUCAACAUUAUUUGAAUUAUAAAAAUCAAUUGAGUGAUCGGCAAACAUUUCUGGAUGUUCAUUAGCUUGAAAACCCUCCAAAUUUUGUAAUCCAUGGUCAAAUUGUAAUGUUUCAUGAGUUGGAGACACUGAGGAAAAAAGCUUUGAGGCUAUUUCUUCUGCAGAAGUCUUCGAAAAAUUGUCAAUAUCAGAAAAAAAAUUUAGAUUCUCUAUGUGACUAGGCCCAUUUUCUUCAGAUAUUCUCAUUUCUUCAUGAUCUAAAGGAUAACCCGAUUCCGAAUCGCUGAGCUGAGCUGAGCUCUGUUUCGCUUGGGACGCUUGAGAUUCUAUGGUAAUUAGUUUAG